rnacentral:tRNA from 1 species
GGGCGCGUAGCUCAGUUGGUUAGAGCGCCACGUUGACAUCGUGGAGGCCAGAGGUUCAAGUCCUCUCGCGCCCA